CUACGGGUUGCUCCAGUGAGGAAUAUUGCACAAUGGGGGGAACCCUGAUGCAGCAACGUCGCGUGGAGGAUGACGCAUUUCGGUGUGUAAACUCCUUUUAUAUGUCAAGAAAAUGACGGUAGCAUAUGAAUAAGCACCGGCUAACUCCGUACCAGCAGCCGCGGUAAUACGGAGGGUGCAAGCGUUACUCGGAAUCACUGGGCGUAAAGGACGCGUAGGCGGGUUGGAAAGUCAGGUGUGAAAUCCUACAGCGUAACUGUAGAACUGCACUUGAAACUUCUAAUCUAGAGUAUGGGAGGGGGAGAUGGAAUUAGUGGUGUAGGGGUAAAAUCCGUAGAUAUCACUAGGAAUACCUAAAGCGAAGGCGAUCUCCUGGAACAUUACUGACGCUAAGGCGUGAAAGCGUGGGGAGCAAACAGGAUUAGAUACCCGGGUAGUC
rnacentral:rRNA from 1 species